UAGGGAAUAUUGGUCAAUGGAUGCAAGUCUGAACCAGCCAUGCCGCGUGCAGGAAGAAGGCCCUAUGGGUUGUAAACUGCUUUUGCCAGGGGAUAAAAUGAGCAUGCGUGCUUAAUUGAAGGUACCUGGUGAAUAAGCCACGGCUAACUACGUGCCAGCAGCCGCGGUAAUACGUAGGUGGCAAGCGUUGUCCGGAUUUAUUGGGUUUAAAGGGUGCGUAGGCGGUCCUAUAAGUCAGUGCUGAAAUAUCCCGGCUUAACCGGGAGGGUGGCAUUGAUACUGCAGGACUUGAGUAAAGUUGAGGUUGGCGGAAUUGACGGUGUAGCGGUGAAAUGCUUAGAUAUCGUCAAGAACACCUAUUGCGAAGGCAGCUAACUAAGCUUUAACUGACGCUGAGGCACGAAAGUGUGGGGAUCAAA
rnacentral:rRNA from 1 species